GAUGAACGCUGACAGAAUGCUUAACACAUGCAAGUCAACUUGAAUUUGGGUUUUUAACUUAAGUUUGGGUGGCGGACGGGUGAGUAACGCGUAAAGAACUUGCCUCACAGCUAGGGACAACAUUUGGAAACGAAUGCUAAUACCUAAUAUUAUGAUAAUAGGGCAUCCUAUAAUUAUGAAAGCUAUAAGCGCUGUGAGAGAGCUUUGCGUCCCAUUAGCUAGUUGGAGAGGUAACGGCUCACCAAGGCGAUGAUGGGUAGCCGGCCUGAGAGGGUGAUCGGCCACUAGGGGACUGAUACACGGCCCUUACUCCUACGGGAGGCAGCAGUGGGGAAUAUUGGACAAUGGACCAAGAGUCUGAUCCAGCAUUCUGUGUGCACGAUGAAGUUUUUCGGAAUGUAAAGUGCUUUCAGUUGGGAAGAUAGAAAUGACGGUUCCAACAGAAGAAGUGACGGCUAAAACGUGCCAGCAGCCGCGGUAAUACGUAUGUCACUAGCGUUAUCCGGAUUUAUUGGUCGUAAAGCGCGCUAGGUGGUAUGUAUUCUGAUGUGAAUGCAGGGCUCAUCUCUGUUUGCGUUGUAUUCUGUUUACUAGAUUACUGUAGAGUUAUCUUGACUACAAGUGUGUGGGUGAAUUUGUAUUAUGUGUUGGAUGCCCAUGAGUAAUCCAUUUUACUUGUAUUGAUGCGGGCGUUGAAUCCCGGAUGUGUGUGAUGUUAUAGUAUAUGAUUCUGUGUGAGCCUAUGUGUUGUUCAUGCUGUGUGAUGGUGUUUUUUAUUGUGUCUAUGUCCACGUCUGCGCUGAUAAAAAAAUUAUAAAUCUUAGAUGUGGUAA
rnacentral:rRNA from 1 species